AUCACCCCCACCCACUCCCGGCCCGGCCGCUGCCAAGUCGGAGGAGCCGCUGGAGUGUCUCCCUCUACCGGAGGCUCUCGGGCGGCGGGCGCGGGCCUGCUCCUGCGGCAGGGAGGCGGGCGGCCUGGAGAAGCGGCUCCGCUCGCGAGGAGCCUCGGAUGGGGAGUGCGGUGGACCCCCAGGAACUCUGGAGCACCCUCCCGCCCCCAAGCCAAGUCCUCCUUAGCGAACAACCGGGGCCGAGUUCCAAGAUAUCACCGGUGCUGAGGGGACCGAGAUGAGGAUCCUUGGAUCCCCCAAAAGAGAACACCAGCUCUGGGAUCGCCAGGCCCUGGCUCAGCUCUCCACCCUGUAAUGAAAUGGCCAGCUAUCUGGGACAUUACUGUAGCCUCCUCGCCAUCAGAACUGUCACUCCCGCUGCCAUCAUCCUCUCCUUCAGCACCAUCUCCAUUCUCAUCACUCGCAUCACCACCACCUCACACAGAACCAUCUGCAUCCUUCUGCUCACCCAGUGGACCCUCUUCUCCCUGUACCCAGGGAGGAACCCUAUCAGCAUUUGCUGCCUUUGAUGCUGCAUCCAAACUCUAAGCCCUCCUGAGCUAAGGAUUUUGCAUGGCUGGGCUCCCAACUGUAUUCUGGCAGCUGGGCCCCAUGGCAGCCAGACUGCAGGGCUCAGAGAAACAACCAACAACCCUGGGAAGGGGUGAAGGCCACAUGCCCUGCAGAAGAUGGUCCCGUCUUAUUGCAUUAGAAAGGGACAGUGAAGAAGAGUGACCAAAUGAGGGAGCAAGAAACCCCCAGCUUACCUCGCAUAGGGACCACGGUUUACUUAGCAAGGAAGAACAAAACGGAACAACAGCAAUAAUAAUAGCUAAUAUGUAUUGCUUAUUGGCUGGGUGCCAGACUCCAUGCUGAGUGCCGAACAUGCAUUGUUCAUCAGAUCUCCACAGCACCCCUAUGUGGCUUAGGUAAGUGAAGGAACUUGUCGCCAGGUGUGAACUCAGACAGGCUGCCAUCAGAACCCACACUCCAAACCACCAUUCUGAAUUGCUCCUUCAUAAAGCAUAAACGUUCACUCCCUUGCCCCCCUCAUCCAUUCAUUUAUUCACUGAUUCACUCAUUCAGCAUGCAUACACUGAUAGCCUCUAAGAAACUUACCAGCUCAUUGGUUCCCAUUCAGCAUCUAGGCUGUCCAGGCACAUAGAAGGCACUCGGCUAUGAAGACGAAUAAAUCAGAAUCCCUGAACUCCCAGAAAUCUUUAAGGUUUUCAGGGGCCAUGAGAGAUGUGGAAAAGCCUAAUUCUGCCUUCAGAUCACACCCAUAUUUUACAGCAGAGAAACUGAGGCCUAGUAGGAGGGACAUGGAAAGGGUGUUCAAAUCUCUCCCGAUUUAACAGUCAAGUAAGAGUCCACUUGGAUUCUCAACACAAAUCAGGGUUUGUCUUCCAGCCUCACCCGUCUCCGGAGAUUUUGCAUAUAUGUUGUGUCACUGCUUGGCUGCGUGGUCCUUUUGACAGACUCAGUAAGUCUCUUUCUGCCUUUAUUCCCAUUGGCUACUUUCACAAUACCCAGUAGUAAUGUCCACACCCAAAUCAAAACUCAUCCACUCCAGAAACUACUUCAUUCAGGACACCUAUGUCUUGUAUCCCCAGAGCUUAUGUGUUCACAUUCCCAUCAUAGUAGUAUACAUUUGUAUGAUCCUUUGUAUGUGUUCUUAAAUUUCGAGUACGUAUACAUUAGUUCAAGCAGCUUUUGAACUUCAUGAAGGCAAGGAUUUAGUGUUUCUUUUAUAUCCUACCUUCUCCUUCCCAAUCUCUCAGUCUCUCAGCAUCUGGUAACAAUCUCAGCCUAUUCAAAUUACUAAUAAAUGCAAAUUUCUUGACCUU
rnacentral:lncRNA from 10 species